ACCUAGCGGCGGACGGGUGAGUAAUGCGUAGGAAGCUACCCGAUAGAGGGGGAUACCAGUUGGAAACGACUGUUAAUACCGCAUAAUGUCUACGGACCAAAGUGUGGGACCUUCGGGCCACAUGCUAUCGGAUGUGCCUACGUGGGAUUAGCUAGUUGGUGAGGUAAUGGCUCACCAAGGCGACGAUCCCUAGCUGGUUUGAGAGGAUGAUCAGCCACACUGGAACUGAGACACGGUCCAGACUCCUACGGGAGGCAGCAGUGGGGAAUAUUGGACAAUGGGCGCAAGCCUGAUCCAGCCAUGCCGCGUGUGUGAAGAAGGCCUUCGGGUUGUAAAGCACUUUCAGUAAGGAGGAAGCGUUGAGUGUUAAUAGUACUCAGCGUUGACGUUACUUACAGAAGAAGCACCGGCUAACUCUGUGCCAGCAGCCGCGGUAAUACAGAGGGUGCAAGCGUUAAUCGGAAUUACUGGGCGUAAAGCGCACGUAGGCGGUUUUUUAAGUCAGAUGUGAAAGCCCCGGGCUCAACCUGGGAAUUGCAUUUGAAACUGGAAAACUAGAGUGUGUGAGAGGGGGGUAGAAUUCCAAGUGUAGCGGUGAAAUGCGUAGAGAUUUG
rnacentral:rRNA from 1 species